GGAAGAGUGGCUGAACGGUAAGGCAGCUGGUUGCUAACCAGUGAAUCCUGUGAAACGGAUUUAUAGGUUCGAAUCCUAUCUCUUCCA
rnacentral:tRNA from 1 species